rnacentral:rRNA from 1 species
CCCUUAGAUGUCCUGGGCCGCACGCGCGUUACACUGAUGCAUUCAACGAGCUUAUAACCUUGGCCGAGAGGCCUGGGCAAUCUUGUUAACGUGCAUCGUGAUAGGGAUAGAUUAUUGAAAUUAUUAAUCUUGAACGAGGAAUUCCUAGUAAACGCAGAUCAUCAAUCUGCAUUGAUUACGUCCCUGCCCUUUGUACACACCGCCCGUCGCACCUACCGAUUGGAUGGUUUAGUGAGAUCCUCGGAUUGGUCCCGGCGCGGCCUCUGGUCGUGCCGGAGUGCCGAAAAGAAUGUCGAACUUGAUCAUCUAGAGGAAGUAAAAGUCGUAACA